CCUCUCAUGGCGUAGUGGUUAACGCGCCCCAACUUGAGAUCGGGGAGUCGUGAGUUCGAUUCUCACUGAGAAGA
rfam:Aedes aegypti strain Liverpool supercont1.341 genomic scaffold, whole genome shotgun sequence.